rnacentral:rRNA from 1 species
UAGAUACCCUGGUAGUCCAUACCGUAAACGAUGAAUGCUAAGUGUUGGAGGGUUUCCGCCCUUCAGUGCUGCAGCUAACGCAUUAAGCAUUCCGCCUGGGGAGUACGGCCGCAAGGCUGAAACUCAAAGGAAUUGACGGGGGCCCGCACAAGCGGUGGAGCAUGUGGUUUAAUUCGAAGCUACGCGAAGAACCUUACCAGGUCUUGACAUACUAUGCAAAUCUAAGAGAUUAGACGUUCCCUUCGGGGACAUGGAUACAGGUGGUGCAUGGUUGUCGUCAGCUCGUGUCGUGAGAUGUUGGGUUAAGUCCCGCAACGAGCGCAACCCUUAUUAUCAGUUGCCAGCAUUAAGUUGGGCACUCUGGUGAGACUGCCGGUGACAAACCGGAGGAAGGUGGGGAUGACGUCAAAUCAUCAUGCCCCUUAUGACCUGGGCUACACACGUGCUACAAUGGAUGGUACAACGAGUUGCGAACUCGCGAGAGUAAGCUAAUCUCUUAAAGCCAUUCUCAGUUCGGAUUGUAGGCUGCAACUCGCCUACAUGAAGUCGGAAUCGCUAGUAAUCGCGGAUCAGCAUGCCGCGGUGAAUACGUUCCCGGGCCUUGUACACACCGCCCGUCACACCAUGAGAGUUUGUAACACCCAAAGUCGGUGGGGUAACCUUUUAGGAACCAGCCGCCUAA